rnacentral:rRNA from 1 species
GACGAACGCUGGCGGCGUGCUUAACACAUGCAAGUCGAACGGAAAGGCCCCUUUGGGGGUCCUCGAGUGGCGAACGGGUGAGUAACACGUGAGUAACCUGCCCUUGACUUCGGGAUAACUUCAGGAAACUGGGGCUAAUACCGGAUAGGAAUCCUUGCUGCAUGGUGGGGGUUGGAAAGCUUCGGCGGUUUUGGAUGGACUCGCGGCUUAUCAGCUUGUUGGUGGGGUAGUGGCUUACCAAGGCUUUGACGGGUAGCCGGCCUGAGAGGGCGACCGGCCACAUUGGGACUGAGAGACGGCCCAGACUCCUACGGGAGGCAGCAGUGGGGAAUAUUGCACAAUGGGCGGAGGCCUGAUGCAGCAACGCCGCGUGCGGGAUGACGGCCUUCGGGUUGUAAACCGCUUUCAGCAGGGGCGAAGCUUGUGGUGACGGUACCUGCAGAAGAAGCACCGGCUAACUACGUG